AGAUAAAGAGAGAUCAGAAAUACAAGAGGCAGAGGAAGCAAGGUUGAGGAUAAUUUGGAAAUACCAAUCAGAACACGGACCAAGACGAGAUUGAUUUAAAUUUUAGGUGCAUGUUUAUUUUAUUUUGAGUAAUAAACUUAAAAUUUAUGGUUUACAUUUUUUUCAUGAUUAUACUGUGCACUUGUGAUGAGUGAUAUUUUAUAUUAUAGUCUUCACAUGCAUGAUGAUGUGUACUA